rnacentral:rRNA from 1 species
UUCGGGAAGCGAGCGUACACAGGUGCUGCAUGGCGUGUCGUCAGCUCGUGUCGUGAGAUGUUGGGUUAAGUCCCGGCAACGAGCGCAACCCCUGCAUUCAGUUGCCAUCGGGUAAUGCCGGGCACCCUGGAAGGACUGCCAUCGACAAGAUGGAGGAAGGUGGGGAUGACGUCAAGUCAUCAUGGCCCUUAUGUCCAGGGCGACACACGUGCUACAAUGGCCGGCACAACGGGAAGCGAGUUCGCGAGGACGAGCGGAUCCCUCAAAGCCGGUCGCAGUUCGGAUUGAAGUCUGCAACUCGACUUCAUGAAGCUGGAAUCGCUAGUAAUCGUGGAUCAGCCAAGCCGCGGUGAAUACGUUCCCGGGCCUU